GGGCUUCAGACAUGCAAGUCGAACGAGAAAGUCCUUCGGGAGUGAGUAAAGUGGCGAACGGGUGAGUAACACGUGAGUACCUGCCCUCCGGUGUGGGAAUAACGACCCGACAUAGUAGCUAAUUCCGCAUGUGGUAUCUUUGACCACGGUCUUUGAUAAGAAAGGCGCCCUCUACAUGUAAGGUGUCGCCGGAGGAGGGGCUCGCGGCCCAUUAGCUUGUUGGUAGGGUAAUGGCCUACCAAGGCUACGAUGGGUAGCUGGUCUGAGAGGAUGAUCAGUCACACUGGAACUGAGACAAGGUCCAGACUCCUACGGGAGGCAGCAGUCCGGAAUAUUGGGCAAUGAAUGAAACUUUGACCCAGCCACGCUGCGUGUGUGAUAAAGGCCUUCGGGUCGUAAAGCACUGUCAGGGGGGAAGAAACUUGCCGUAGUUAACACCUGCGGUAUCUGACGGUACCCCCAAAGGAAGCACCGGCUAACUACGUGCCAGCAGCCGCGGUAAUACGUAGGGUGCAAGCGUUGUUCGGAAUCACUGGGCGUAAAGCGCGUGUAGGCGGCUGGUUAGGUCUGAUGUGAAAGCCCUCGGCUCAACCGAGGACGUGCAUUGGAAACCAAUCAGCUUGAGUACGGGAGAGGGAGGUGGAAUUCUCAGUGUAGCGGUGAAAUGCGCAGAUAUUGAGAGGAACACCGGUGGCGAAGGCGUGCUCCUGGACCGAUACUGACGCUGAAACGCGAAAGCGUGGGGAGCAAACAGGAUUAGAUACCCUGGUA
rnacentral:rRNA from 1 species